rnacentral:rRNA from 1 species
UACAGAGGGCGCGAGCGUUGUCCGGAAUCACUGGGCGUAAAGGGCGCGUAGGUGGCCACCAUAAGGCCGCGGUGAAAGUUCGGGGCUCAACCCCGGAUCGGCCGCGGCGACUGUGGGGCUCGGGUACUGUAGAGGCAGAUGGAAUUCCGGGUGUAGCGGUGGAAUGCGUAGAGAUCCGGAAGAACACCAGUGGCGAAGGCGGUCUGCUGGGCCUUACCUGACGCUGAGGAGCGAAAGCGUGGGGAGCGAACAGG